rnacentral:rRNA from 1 species
AUGGGCGACUGUUUGCCAGCCCAAGGAGGCCUUGGGAUUACCAACACCAGACUCCUAAAUAUCGCACUCAUGUGCAAAUGGAUCUGGAAACUGUCGCAAGGGGCGACCGGUUUGUCGGCGGACCUCCUUCGUGCCAAAUACUUCCCCAAUGGGAAUUUUUUUGAAGGGGCCGCGAGGGGAUCACCUUUCGGGAAUGAUAUCCAAUCUAUUAAACCGGCCUUUGCCAUGGGGGCAAAGUUUGCCGUCGGCAACGGUUGUUCAACUCGGUUCUGGUUAGAUUGUUGGAUGGGCUCACAACCACUCUGGCAAGAAUAUCAGGACCUAUACGCCAUAGCCGUAAACCCGAGCCAGAUGGUGGCGGAUGCGCUGGCCUCUUCCCCUCCGACUGUUAACUUCCGUCGUGAGCUCAAUAACCAAGAGAGGGCGAAUCUCGCGGUUAUGCUCGACUCUGUGAGCUCAUACGCGCUGUCCACCGGACCGGAUUCCGUUUCGUGGUCCCUUACUGGAUCCGGCAAAUUCACGGUCAAGUCCUUAUACUACAAACUGUGCCAAGGGCCGAGACAGUUGGUGGCUAGGGGCCUUUGGAAGGCGCGUAUCCCUCUCAAAGUCAAAGUUUUCCUUUGGCAAAUGUUCCGCAAUAGAUUACCAACGUCUGUGAAUGUGGCUAAACGUCACGACCCGGUUUCGGCCCAUGCGCUCUUUGUGGUUCACCCGAGGAUGCCAACCAUGUAUUCUUCAACUGCCCCCUAG